rnacentral:rRNA from 1 species
UACGUAGGGUGCGAGCGUUAAUCGGAAUUACUGGGCGUAAAGUGUGCGCAGGCGGCCGCGCAAGUCGAGUGUGAAAGCCCCGAGCUUAACUUGGGAAUUGCAUUGGAAACUAGCGGGCUGGAGUGUGGCAGAGGGGGGUGGAAUUCCACGUGUAGCGGUGAAAUGCGUAGAUAUGUGGAGGAACACCGAUGGCGAAGGCAGCCCCCUGGGCCAAUACUGACGCUCAUGCACGAAAGCGUGGGGAGCAAACAGG